rnacentral:rRNA from 1 species
UACGUAGGGGGCAAGCGUUGUCCGGAUUUAUUGGGCGUAAAGGGCGCGUAGGCGGCUGUACAAGUCAAAGGUGAAAUCCCUCGGCUCAACUGAGGAACUGCCUUUGAAACUGUACGCUUGAGGCCGGGAGGGGGUAGCGGAAUUCCCAGUGUAGCGGUGAAAAUGCGUAGAUACUGGGAGGAACACCAGUGGCGAAGGCGGCCGGCUGGGGGUGACCUG